AUUGAACGCUGGCGGCAAGCCUAACACAUGCAAGUCGAGCGGCAGCGUAAAAGUUNACUUUUGACGGCGAGCGGCGUACGGGUGAGUAACACGUGGGAAUCUGCCCAUCAGUACGGAAUAACUUUUAGAAAUAAAAGCUAAUACCGUAUAUUCUCUACGGAGGAAAGAUUUAUCGCUGAUGGAUGAGCCCGCGUCAGAUUAGGUAGUUGGUGGGGUAAUGGCCUACCAAGCCUACGAUCUGUAGCUGGUCUGAGAGGAUGAUCAGCCACACUGGGACUGAGACACGGCCCAGAC
rnacentral:rRNA from 1 species